UACGUAGGGGGCAAGCGUUGUUCGGAAUUACUGGGCGUAAAGGGCGCGUAGGCGGCUCGGCAAGUCAGGAGUGAAAGCCCGGGGCUCAACCCCGGAAUGUCUUUUGAAACUGCCGAGCUAGAGUGCGGAAGAGGCAACUGGAAUUCCCAGUGUAGCGGUGAAAUGCGUAGAUAUUGGGAAGAACACCUGAGGCGAAGGCGGGUUGCUGGGCCGACACUGACGCUGAGGCGCGAAAGCCAGGGGAGCGAACGGG
rnacentral:rRNA from 1 species